rnacentral:lncRNA from 1 species
CUCACACAAUGCCUUCCUCUCUGAGUGUCAGUCUUCUUAUCUGUAAACGGGAUCAGCAAGUCUUGCUUAAUACAAAGAUGGACAUAUAGGCCUUAUCCCUGGGCCUGGUAAGUGGUCAGGAAAUGGUACCUGGUAUUUUCUCAUUGCUCUAGUAACUGGUCCAUCCACGACAUCCUUCAGGGUUUAAGUUCAACACCAUGCCCCAGCCCCACACUGUCCCCACCAUGUGCAGGGACUGCCCACUCAUUCAGUGAGGUAUUUAGGUGUUUUAGGUCUUGUCCAAGGGCACCGCACUUCACAGUUUAUAAAGCAUUUCCUCCCAUCCUUCCAUUGUCCUGAAGCGUUAGGCAGCUGUGGAAAUCUUUGGAGUCACUGGAUGGCAGAGUGUCUGGCAGUCCCUGGCCCACAGCAGGUGCUCAAAUAAGAAUGGCAGGUCCUGCCCCUCCCGCUUCCAUGAUGAACCUUCCAAUUCCAAAGACCUUUCUUACCAAACUUACUUCAUCUGAAGAAAAGAUCAUUUUUCAGCCACAGAGAUCCCUAAUCCUGGGAGGUUCUGACUCACAGCUAAGCUCUGCUGGAAUCAGAAGCCAAGCCUCCAUCUAAACCCAGAAAAAGCAUUGGAGCAAGAAGGGUCCUCGGGCCCUCCCACAUGGAAACAAAGCAGGAGCAGGCCAAAGACAAGGUCAGGUCAAGGACUCCAGCCACUGAUUCCUCUCUGAUAGGAAAGAGCUUCUCCUCAAACUGCCCAUUCCCAGAGGAGGGUAAAUCCUGAGUCUCUGCUCUGCUGUGUCCUUCUCCUGCUACCUCAUUUCAGCUCUCAAGAUGAGCUCGGAUGGCACCACCUCCAGGAAGCCUGCCCUGAUCCUCCAUGAGAGUUUGCUGUUCCCUUAUGUGCCCACCCACAGCCCCAGGGUUCCUCCUACCAGGGUACCGAGUAAAGGUUUUGUUGAAGCUUAACUCACAACCACAAAGUAUACAGAUCUUACUUAAGCGGGCAAUUCAAUGGAUUGUCCCCAUGAACAGCCUGUAGGAACUGCUGCAUCAUCUGACUCCUCCCACACGAGCUCCUAGUCCUGCCCCAGGACGGCCCCCCACCCCCUUGACUUCUACCCCUCAAUUCGUUUUGCCUGGUUUUUUUGUCCUUUAUGCAAAUCCAAUCAUCUAAGGAGUCCUCUUCUGUUUCUGGCUUCUCCCAUAUUUUGUCUAGAUUAUGUCCUUACGCGCAGUUGCCGAUGGUUUAUUCUCAUUGCUGUCUAGUGUUCUCAUGUGUGAACUGACCGUAAUUUAUCCAUUUUACCACUGAGGAUCAUCUGGGUCGUUCCUAGUAUUUUUGCCGAGUAAUGAAACAGGACGGCUGAGAACAUCCCAGUUCAAGUCUUUGGGGGCGCAUGCAUAUACACUUCCGUUGAGUGUGUAUGCCAAGAAAGAAGUGAAAUGACUGGGUCAUAGGGUAGGCAUGCAUUUGGCUUUAGCAGCUGUAGCCAAAGUGUUUUCCAAAAUUGUUGUGCCAAUUUACAUCCUGCCAAUAGAGUAGGAGCUUUCCUCCUGCCCCACAUCCUCACCUACUCUCGAAAUUGUCUGGGAGCCCCUACAUUUCAUCUGU